GAUGAAGAACGUAGCGAAAUGCGAUAAGUAGUGUGAAUUGCAGAAUUCAGUGAAUCAUCGAAUCUUUGAACGCACAUUGCGCCCUUUGGUAUUCCUUAGGGCAUGCCUGUUCGAGCGUCAUUUAAACCUUCAAGCUCAGCUUGGUGUUGGGUGACUGUCCGCCGCCUCCGGGCGGUCGGACUCGCCUCAAAUUGAUUGGCGGCCGGUACUUUGGCUUCGAGCGCAGCAGAAACGCGAACUCGAGGCCGUCGUCCUGGCUCCCAGAAGCUAUCUUCACAAUUUUGACCUCGGAUCAGGUAGGGAUACCCGCUGAACUUAAGCAUAUCAAUAGCGGAGGA
rnacentral:misc_RNA from 1 species